GGGCCCGCACAAGCGGUGGAGCAUGUGGUUUAAUUCGACGCAACGCGAAGAACCUUACCUGGGCUCGAACGGCUGGUCAACGACGGUGGAAACACUGUUACAUCCGCAAGGGUGGUCCAGUCGAGGUGCUGCAUGGCUGUCGUCAGCUCGUGUCGUGAGAUGUUGGGUUAAGUCCCGCAACGAGCGCAACCCUUGCCCUGUGUUGCCAGCAUUCAGUUGGGCACUCUCAGGGGACCGCCAGCGAUAAGCUGGAGGAAGGUGGGGAUGACGUCAAGUCAGCAUGGCCUUUAUGUCCAGGGCUACACACGUGCUACAAUGGCCGGUACAACGCGACGCCAACCCGCGAGGGGGAGCAAAUCGCAAAAAACCGGUCUCAGUUCGGAUCGCAGGCUGCAAUUCGCCUGCGUGAAGCUGGAAUCGCUAGUAAUGCCGCAUCAGCAUGGCGGCGUGAAUACGUUCCCGGGCCUU
rnacentral:rRNA from 1 species